rnacentral:rRNA from 1 species
GCUCCUACCGAUUGAAUGAUCCGGUGAAUUAUUCGGACCAUACUUUGUAGCAAUACAUGUAAGGAAAGUUUCGUAAACCUUAUCAUUUAGAGGAAGGAGAAGUCGUAACAAGGUUUCC